AAAAAAUACAUAAUUAUAGAAGAAUGUGUCUUAAUUCGGGUCAGGAAGGAAGAGGCGUUUCUUGUUGAUACGCGUAAGCGUUUGAGAGGUCAGAGUGUUUCUCUCUCUCUCUCGGGAAAGUUCUCUCCCGGUUGGAACCUCCAAUCCGAAGACGGCACGAAGAGAAGAGAUGAAGCUGCGGAGGAGACGAUAAGCUGCAGAGGAGAGAUGAGACGAAGCUGCGGAGGAGAGAGCUUCGGAUGGAUGAGGUGCUUGCAUCUGUUGCUGAGACGAUCAAGAACUUUGCGGUGGACAUCACCGGUAGUUGAGCCCUGAAACCUCAACCCCAGUCUCAUCCAUAUCUCCAUCAUCCCCGAGCUCUCCGAGUUCCCCAUCUUGCUUCCAGAGCUCUGACGCAUGGCCGCACGCUUCUGGAACAGAGUAGGCUGCGCACCAGACGAUGCCAACACCUCUAGAGGCUUCAGAACUUUCGGUCUGCUCUCGCUCGACUCCCAAACCCCUUCCAGCUCCACCCACCUCCGCCGCCGCAUAAGGGCGGUGGGUUGUUGUUUUCCGGCGGUAGAAGCGACCGAGCAGAUAAGAAGUCAGGGACGGAGCUUCCCAGCUGCAGCAUCUGGAGAUCUUGUGGAUGUGGUUGGUUAUUACUGAACCAAUCACCACCACUUUCAAGCAUAGGUUCCACACUUCAACACCAUGUACGAGCUCUACGAUCCUUCGACGGUGAUGUUCUUCUUUAGGAGAAACAUCAAGUAAAACCAAAUUUCCUCCAUCGGGUCACGCUUUAAGGUUGGUCAUCUUGGGGAAGAGUAUCAGGAAUGGCUUCCAGUUGUCUGCUACGUUCUUUCAAUCUCCGCGAGGAAGGGACUGACAUUUCCCCGGAUCGGUUUAAUAGUUGCCUUUGCCGUACUCAUCUGGACACUGCUCGAGUACACGCUUUCAUCGCUUCCUUUUCCACAUAGAAACCAAGAGCUAUUGGUUAGUUCAAUAUCAUUGAUCAAUUUGAAGUUUUUUUAUUGUGCAUUGUGGUAAAAUUUGUUGUAAUGAAAGUGUUUUAUAAUUUUUUUUUAAGAGCCCAUAAUCAAGAGACUUGCAUUAAACCA